UCUUUGACCUAAAGGUCUUAUUUACCACUUCUACCAGAUCAUAAAAUCCCUUCAAAGAAGUGUAUUAACUAUGCUUUGUGAGGUUAACUCUCAACUAAAAAUAUUUGUUUUCAGUUAUAUUUAAGUUGAUUCACUAAAAUAUCUGACUUGGGGGCUUUUGUAUUACAAAGUUCACCAUGGAAUUUCUUGAAGCUAUGCCGGUCACGUUCAAGGAGAUUGCUCCAAAUCAUAAUAUUCCAGAGAAAUGGAAAGAAAUUGUACUUAACACAGGUGGUACUCACAGUACUUUACAAGACAUCAAAUUACCGCAAAAAGCCGGCGGUUACUGGUAUAAGGAUUCAACGAAGUUCUACACCAGGAAUCGCUUUAUUUACUGGCAAACUACAUCAGAUGCAAUUGAGAUAUCGGAAGCUUCACUAGAUUUAAAUCUCUCUUCUGCAAACUUGAGAUGUAAAGUAGCUCCAGGAACUCCUCCACUGAGUAAUAUUACUGUUUAUGAACGCAGUAGUACAAACAAUGUUGUUAUAUUAGCUGCUACAGUUUCGUCAGUACAUAGACUAGUUUUUCCACAUCCUUCAAUAUUAGAUAAAAAGUGUACAUAUGGAUCAAUGAGCAGUACAUCACCUUCUAUAUGUCAUGAUACAUCUUCUAUAAACAACCCUAAUAAUUAUUUUAUUUUAAAUCAGUAUUCUAAUGCCACCACUGGAGUAGCCCAUACAUGUUCUUCACUGCUUCGUGAAAAUGGUGAAGCUAUAUUUGCACUUGCAUUUGGACAUGAAGGUGAGGGCAGUUUGUUACUUAUAAAACUGCCAGUAACUGGAGCAGCAGUCACUACUGUAUUAAAGAGAGAAUCAACUGUACCCAGUUUCUUAUCAGGAAUUACAGGAGCUCUCAGAGGCAAGACUACUGAUGGAGUUGAAACUUAUGGUGUGGUAAUUACAAAAAAUGUAAUUGUGGCUGUGUGUGGUGAUGCGUGUCUUAGAGCAUGGCCCAUUGAUGAUGGAGGUGCACCAAUUUCUGUGUCUGCCCCACUUUCACAAACAAACGUGAGACCGAAGCCACCACCACAUGGUCACAUGCUACAGAAAACAAUUGGAUUGGAUGGCAGUGUCAUUUUAGUUGCAUAUUUAUCUUUUCCAAAUGAAUGUGAAUUUGUUGUGAUGAAGAUGCAUGAUCCCGUAGGGGGAUUUAUAAAGUUUUCACAUAUCUGCCGAAUAUUUGGUCCUCAGUUGGAUCUUUUAGAUUAUAAAAUUGGUUAUGGAGACAGCAAUCAUGUCAUUUGGGCACUGUGGAGUCAACCCGAUGGCGAUACCAUGAUGACAUGUAGUUCCCUGGGCGCCGAAGUGUCCUGGCAGGCAGUAGCGGGCCGCGAGCCUCCCCCGCCCUUGCCGCAACUAUCAAAUCACAACCAGUACCGCGAUAGACUCCUUGCGCCGGGCCUAUUUCCACAUUCGGUCAUCAGAAAAGCUCUGGUGAUCUAUGCGCGCACGUGGUGCGGCGGGGGCGCGGGGGGCGCGGCGGAGGAGGAGCUGGGCGAGGCGGCGGUGUCCGCCGUGCUGGCCCGCCUCCGCCUGCAUGCGGCGCGCACCGCCUCCACAGAUCAAACACAUCUUAUGCACAAAUGCUGGUCAGAUUUGUACAGCUGGUGCAUGCAGUAUAUGGAAGGGUUACAGAAACCUCUUGGAUUGAUGGUGUCAGAAAAUGGCACGGACAUAGAGAGCGGAGGGUGGUGUGCAGUUGUGCGCCGCGCGGGGGUGUCUCUAGUCUGUGAACUCGAACCGCUAGAACGCAUGAUGUUGUCACCUGAAGAUACACUGGAAUCUGGAACUGGCGUGUGGCUGGGCGCGCUGUCGGCGGCGGCGCGGCGCGUGGUGGCGGCGGGCGCGUGCUGGGAGCGGGCCGCCUCGCCGAGCCGCGCGCACCAGCUCGAGCGACAACUGUUCGCAGCCGCCGCGCCGCAACACCGCCUGCUUCCUAGACUGCUGCAUCUGCUGCACUCGCCGCCUAUCUUAACACCCCAGCAAAUCAAUGAACUUAGUGCAAUUUUGGAGCCGAUCAGAGAUCUCCAAAGUGCCGUACUGGAACUGAACGAUGCCCUCAGAUUGGAUGUUCCAGACAUCGAAAUGUCUAGAAGUGAAGAUGAUGAAGACGGUGAAUAUGAAAGUUUAUUUGCCAGCGAUCUCGGAGUAGCCGUGGUCACCGAGGCCAUUAGGCAAAUGGCUGAAAUGAGAUGCCGCGUGGUGCGAGGCGCGCUGGCGGCGCUGGGCGUGUGUCGCGGGGCGGGCGCGGUUCCGGGCGCCGGACACUGCGCCGUGCACUGGCAGGCCUACCGCGCGCUUCUAUGGCUGCACGGCGCGCCGCCACAUGCCGCCACGAAUUCGAAUUCGUCGGAAGCGUUCCGGUUGAAGCUGAGUGCGCUAGGCGGCGCGGCAGUGAGUGCGGGCGCGGGCGGCGCGGGCGUGGUGCGGGUAUACGCGCGGGGGCCGGGGGGCGCCCGGGCGCGCGCGCACCUGGCCGCCGCACGGACGCACACCGCCUGGCAACACGCGCUGCCGCACUUCCUCUACCAUCUCGCGCAUCAACUUUGGGCAGUUAGCGGCGGCUUCGAUUUUGGUUGGUGGUUAGCAAGAAUCAACCAGCCACGACUCGUGCAGACCUACGUCAAUAUGCUGGAGCCCUGGUGUGAAUGGAAUGCGUGCUCGCGUCAGUUUAUAUUGGGGUUGGCCCUGCUAGACCUGGAAGACACGGAGGCGGCGUACACGGCGUUCUGCAAGGCAGCCAAAGGUGUUAGCACGGAGCCUUUCCUGCGACACCUCGUGGCCGAGCCGGACGCGCACCUCACUCAGCACCGAGCCCUCGUGCUGUACUACAUGAAGGUUAUAAAAUUGUUCGAGAUUCACGACGAAGGCGCUUGCGUUGUGCGUCUCGCGGAAACCGCCAUUAGCAUCGCUGACAAAGAUGAUCCCAAUUUGUCGAUGUUCCAGUGGGUGGUGUUCAAAUGGCACCUGUCGGGCGGGCGCACGUCCCGCGCGCUGACCGCCGCCGCCGCCAACCCGGCGCCGCACGCCCGCGCCGCCGCUGCGGCCGCCCUGCUCACUACGCUCGGCAGUCGCGGCGAGCUGGGCGCGCUGGUGCAGUGCGCGACGAUGGCCGAGGAGGCGGAGCGAGCCGCCGCCGCGCGCGCCGCACUGCACGACGCGCACACACACAACCCUUAUUACGACUUCCUCUACGCGCUGCAUCUCUCCAGACACCACUACAGAAAAGCGGCCGCGGUGAUGUACGAGCGCGCGGCUCGGUGCGCGGCGGAGGGCGGCGGCGUGGCGGUGCGGCGUCGGUACCUCGCCGCGGCGCUCACCGCGCUGCGCAUGGCGCGUCCCGACCACGCCUUCAUAGCGCGACCCGCCACGCAUCUAGACUCCAAACUACAGGUAAUCGGUCCCGAAGAAUUAGCAGCGGAAUUACGUGAAGAAGUCCCGGAUUCCCAAGACCCAGUAAAACAAGCUCUGCUUAACAGUGAAAACAUAAACUUCGACCGUCUGUAUACAACCUUGAAAGAUGCAAAUGCAGAUACCUUGCUCACAGUAACUAAAAGAGCAAUAAGUACAGGACAGUUUCUACCGCGGUGGUUUUUGCAUAGAUAUUUGGAGGUUGACGGAGCGGGCUGCGUGCGUGCGUUACUGAGCGGAGGGCGCGCGGGCGAGGCGGGGGCGGCGUGGUGCGCGCUGGCACGAGCCUCGCUGGCCACACUGCAGCCGCGCGGACCGCCCGCUAUGGCGCACCUCUCGCUAGCUGAUUUAUUACUCGCAGAGCUCGCCGACCAUCAACAACCAUACGCCAAACAGGUACACGACGAGAUAGAUUCGCUGGUAAAGGAAUAUACUCAAGUUAUAAUUCGCACAUCUGAAGAUAUGAAAUUAGUAUAAACCUAUUAAUGUAUAAAAUAAAUGGAUUUUGUAUUUGUUAAAAUAAAAUAAUUUUGCUGCAAAAAAUUAAUAAUAAUACCUGAUUUAAUUAUAUAUAGUAUAAUUAUACCAUAAUAUUUCUUGAACGUCUUAUAUUUAAUUUUCUUACAUCUAUGAAAUUAAAAUAAAAAAAGAAUAUUUUAAACAAAGUUUUAUUAACGAGAAUUCUGUGACUGACCAAAACCAUUCUUUAUUCUUACACACUAACUACUUACUACUAAUAUUGAAUCACAGUUUAAUUAAUGAAGAGUAGCUUUGAAAUUAAUUAGAAAACAUACCAAAUGUACUAAUUUUCCAUAUUGACAAUGAUGAUUGAAAUUGAUUGAAAAAUAAGUAAAGUGAAAAAUAAGUAUUGAAUGUAAGUAGUUAAACAUAAAUAAAUAACGUUGACAAAAUUAGUUCAAAAGAAAACAAGAGAAUUUGAUUUAAACUAACAAUUAAUUAUAAUAAGUGCAAUAAAGUAUAAAGGUAACAUUUUUGUCAUGGGAAUUACAAUUUUUGACAAGUUAAUUUUUAACAAUAUGGUACUGUAAUUAUUAACCUAACAAUAAAUGUAGAUUUAAUAAUGACUAGAUGUAGAGGAUGUCUAAUUUUUGGUUUACUUUCACCUUCAAGUGUACCAGUUCACUGUUGCUUUUGAAGCAAGACUAACUAAUGCCUCACCUAUACGUGGUAAAGGUCAUUCAUGGACAACAAGUGGGUCAAAGAUCAGUCAAUCCGCUGCCUACAACUCUAGACUGAUUUCCAACCUUAUUCUAAAAAGAUAAUUCGUACUUCUAAGAUAUUAAUUUUUUGGUGAAGAAUUUGGCUAUUGUAUAUUUGUUUCGCCCAAAAAAAUCUUUAUAAUUGGUAGGAGCCAUUUAGGAGGCAACAUAUCUGUGCUCUCUAUCCGACAUAAAAUUUCAACCUAUAUCGUUAUAGUUAUAAUAUGUAGGAAUAAUUUGGUUUAAUCAUGGCCAGUGGCCACACCGACCUGACAGAUGACAGGUGGCGCGUGAACUCUAUAGUCUGUCUUAUUACGAUUAAUUAUAAAGAAAGAAAGACUUAAAUUUUUCGUGAGUUGAUGACUAAAUAAAAAAAAAGAAAUAACAGAAAGACGUAUUAAAAAUAAAAUUCAACAAAUUCGGUUAAUUCAUUGUGCACCGCUGUUCUACAAAUUUUUGGGGGCCCGUCCGGGAUCGAGAUCGACAUCAAAAUCUGUGAUCGGUGUACAAAAGUUGCGAACGAAAACUACGCACGCUGGAAAAACUGAGAUUAUUCACUUUCCAAAUUUCAUCUCAAGACCUUUACAAAGAAUUCAAUGAAUAGUAAAAUGCCUCGGAGGGUGGUUAUGGCAGACGAAGAAUGCUUUGCCGAACCUGCUCCACAAUUUCCUUCUGCGAAUUAAAAAAUCUAUGGAUGCAUUUGACGAUGCAUACGGCGUGGAUUAAGGAUUUCGAAGAUAUGGCUAAUCUCAUGCAAUGGACGGACAUUAAAAAAUUGAUCUACGCAAAAAGGCUUUUGAAGGGGACAGCAAAACUGUUCCUCAGAUUUUUGACUGGCACGACUACAUGGGAACACUUGAUAACGGGAUUAAAAGAAUUUGGACUACAUACAGCGCACCCAUUCGCAAGACCAUAUCAAAUAGGAAGAUGAAACCAGGUGAAACAUAUAAACAAUAUUUUAUGCAACUUAAAGAAGUCCCAGUACUCGGAAAGAUUAAAGAUAAGCCCUGAUGGAAUACAUCAUCAAUGAUAUUAGGGAUACCAUGACAUGAAAUGAAUAAAACUAUACUGUAUGGGGCUUCCAACAUCAAAGAAUUUAGGAAAAAAACUUGAUUUAUAUGCUGAAAUAAAGAAGAAAUGUCGAACGUCAAAAAGAACUUAUAAUCAAUCAACAACAUUCAAACCUACAGCAUCUGGAUGGAAGAAAGCAUUAACUAAGAUGAGAUGCUUCAACUGCAGCGACCUAGAUUAUGAAUCUUUCUAGCUGCUCUAAAGGAAUAAAGUGCUUCCGCUGUAAUGACUUUGGACAUAAGACAACUGACUAUCCCAAAAAUAUAAAGAAGACUCUCGAAAUAAAAUGCAACAAGGAGAAUGAUCCCGGAGAAUAACCCGUUAUGAUCAACAAUGUACCUAAUGGUGAAAUAACUGAUUGACGCUGGCAAUGGUGUGAACUAACGAAUGAAACUACAUUUACUAAAAUACAUGGCGACACUUGUAACUACCACCCUGAUUUAGUACUGUGAACUACUCCUACAUAUACACUUACACACAACUACAUACACCACACUUUUACAUUUUAUUCCGAAACAAAUUUCAGCCGUGUCGAUGCGCACCAGUCCACUACAUUGGACACACGCACCGAAAACCGAUUUGCUGUGACGUCAGGCCGAUACCUCGUGGUCCGGAGAUGAUUGACUGGCUCCAACGUCAUGGCGAAAAUGUGGAUAAUACUUUAUUAAAAGUACAAUUAGUGAAUAUUUUAAAAUCGAAAAAAAAACCCCUAAAAUAUAUAUUACCGACGAAAUAGCUGCCGAAUGUGGUCCUUGGGUUCUUCGACUUCCGCCGUAUCAUUGCCAGCACAAAAUGCUAUAGAACUAAUAUGGCUACGUCAAAGGACACGCCGCGCCGCUUGAAACAAUACCCAUCCCCUUUUACGGCAAACAAGAUGUUAGAUUUAUUAAAAAAUGCAUGUGCGGAAGUAACCGCCGAACACUGGGAAAAAUUGUGAGAAGAACCCAAAACAUUAUAGCGUCGUUAACAGUGACGAUUCAUCAGAUUUUGAUUAAAAUAAAUAAAUAAAGAAUCAACAUAAUAUAAUUACAUCUUGUAGUGAAAUGUAAUAUUAGUUAAAAAAAAUGUACAAAAUUAUCCGGCUUUGUAAAAAAAUAUGGGGCCUGUUAUCGUUUUACGUUUAUCGAUCCCUAUCAGUUACUCUGACUCUACUAUGACCUUGUACCUUGUGUAUGUAAGCGUCAUAUUUUUAUUAAUUAAUGUAAAAAGACGCUCGUUUAAGUUUCCACAGGAGUUGUCAUCCAGAAAAUAAAUAAAUGGAGAUAGUAUAAAUUGUUACUUCUCUAACGUGUUCAAUAAAUAAUUUUACUAAACUAUAGCUAAUGCGAAGACUGGCACAGAAUGCAUAAUGACGGUCGUAUGAUUAGAUUGUUGUUGGAAUGAUGUCAGAUCUAUGUAAGAUUUGGACAGUAACUUUAUAAAGUAAUAACUAUUGCAUAAACAUUUCGUUUUUGUUAAUCUUACACCGUUAGCAUCUACUUCAUAUACAACAAUAUCCAUAUCACUGGGGGGUCUAGAUGGUGAUUACGUCAGCAGUAGUUAUUUCCUAUUUUUUUACACAUAUUGGCAACCUACACGUUGUCUAUGCUUGAAAACGAAACACAUUUUCGGGGAUUCCCAUAAAUAAUGAAUAUGUUUAAGUAAUCGCUUGGAACAGAGUAGGGGAAUUAUCGCGCGCUAUUCACUUGUCUAAAUUUCUUCCGUCAAUCUGUUUCGUUUCGGUACGAUUGGCAAUUUGACAUGUUGUAAGUAAAGGAAGAUAAUGUUUGUGUUACUGUUGAUCUAAUUUCGCCAAAGUUGAAUUGUUUAAGAUGUCAUUUUAAAUAGACAAAUCCAAGCUAUACCAAAAAUUGUUUGAAAGUUUUAAAAAAUCUCAUACAAAUACAAAUGUACAAAAGUUAGUUAACGAAGUAUGGCGUAAUUAUAAGGUAUAAGCAAAGUCCGCCAAGAAACUUGAUAUUAUUGUCUCUAAGAGAAUUGAGGAAGAAUUGCAAGCAGCCUAAAUAAACUAGCGUAAAUCUAAUCUACUACGUUUUUUUCCAAGGUGAGUGAUGAAAGCAUUUUAAGUAUAAGUACUUACUGUAAAUAUUACAACUACACUAGAAAUGUUAGAAAUUGAAAAUUGUUGCAUUGUGUAGUUAAUUUUAGAAAAGUCGUCGUGGCCUAAAGGAUAAAACGUCCGGUGAUUCGUAUCUGCGAUGCAACGGUGUUCGAAUCCCGCAGGCGGGUACCAAUUUUUCUAAUGAAAUGCGUACUUGACAAAUGUUUAUUAUAUGUGUAAUAAAAAUCAAACCCGCAAAAUUAUAAUUUGCGUAAUUACUGUUUUUUUUUUAUUGCCCUUGUAGGCAGACGAGCAUACGGCCCACCUGAUGGUGAGUGGUUACCGUCGCCCAUGGACUUCAGCAAUGCCAGGGGCAGAUCCAAGCCGCUGCCUACAAAGGGUGGUAGGACCUCUUGUGAGUCCGCACGGGCUAAUACGCAUGAAGUUAAUAAACAAAUCAUUAAGUUGCGUGAAGAAUUAAAAACAGCGAAACAGUCAUUAAACAGGAAGAUUCAAAACGCAGUUGCCCAGAAGAAACAGAUGGUAAGAAAAGAAGUUAGAAGAUAUUUGUGAUGAAAAUCCAGAAAUAAAAAAAACUGUCCCUGAGGGAUUCAGUGGGGCGUCCUAAAACGAUCAACCAUUGCUAUUGAAAACAAUUGCGGAUAAUGCUUUAUUUGGGAGUGUAGUAGAUGAUAGAAGACGAACGGAAUCUAUUCGCAGUGUAAAAACUCUUGAUGAACUCACACAAGAAUUACGUAAAAUAGGAUUGGACAUGAGUCGAAGUGGGACAUAUCUUCGUUUGAUUCCCAGAAAAUCUUAAUUCUGCAGAGGGACGAAGAGGUAAUGUAUUGACAGUCCCUGUUAAGCUCAAUCGGGCUCAGGCUGAUCACCACAAAAGCCACUUAGAUAGCAAUUUCGCUGUAACAAUCGUAUCGUGAAACAUACUUGGACCGAUCAAGUAUUUUUCAUAUCUCAAGAUGAUAAAGCUCGGGUCCCUAUUGGAGUAACUGCGGCAAAUAAGCAAGCACCUAUUCUAAUGCACAUAGAAUAUAGAAUCAAAUUGCCUGAUCACGACUGGGUAAUCGCUGAGCGGCAUAAAUUAAUACCAUCAGUUUAUGCUGGUAUCAAAAUCAGUUCCAGUAUGCUAGGACAACCGCAAGCCGUCGGAUAUUCUGGAUCAAAAUACAUCGCUAUUCGAAGUGGAAAGCAUAGUUCAUCUACUACUAAUACUCAUGCCCAAAAUUUCAAGACGCUUUUCGAACUUGAAGAGUUUCGAGCAUUAGCUAAAACUGACCAAGGAUUGGUAAAACCAGUGGUAAUUAUGACGGUUUAUGGAGGACCACAUGAAAAUCCGCGUUAUCAAAAAGUUAUAGGGUUUGCUAUAUAAACAACACUUUAAGCGACAUGAUCUCGAUGCAUUGUUUUUAGCUACCAAUGCUCCCGAUAGAAGUGCGUACAACAGAAUAGAGCGCAGAAUGGCUCGUCUUAGUCGGGAAGUGGUUGGUUUGAUAUUGCCUCAUGACCAUUAUGGAUGAACGUGGCAUUAUGAUUAAUGAACAUUUAGAAAGGUCCAAUUCCAAGUUUGCAGGAAAUGUGUUAGCUGAGGUCUGGAGUUCAAUGGAUGAUGGAGGGCAACUUCUCAAUCUGCCAAUCAAUUUCGAACAUGCAAACCGUGUGGCAUUUAUCAUGCUUCUGUCAAGUCACUAAAUUGUCACAUCAAGAAGAUCCAUAAAAACACGUACACUGUUAUGAAAGUUGGCCUAUAAGAGUGGCUGCUCGUCGUGCCAAUGAACUGAUGUGCAUUAUUCAAAAUUUAGAGCACCAAAAUGUUAAAUGGCUCGAUAAGAAUGACGUAGACAUCCCAAAAUCGGAUGAAAGUCUUUGCACACACAACAUUGAGCAGCAUACAUCCAAUAUCAUCGAAAACUUAGAAUAAUGGAUUCGGAUGUCAUGGAUUGAAGACUGUGGAUUGGAAUUAAUAUGUAUACCAAAAAUUUAAGUUUUUUUGUUAGUAAUAUUACGAUUAUAACAUUUGUGCCUUACUAGGGCGGUUCAAUAAGUACCCACGUUUGAAGACAUAGGUCGUUUUUGAGGGAAGUUGGUGUUGUCAUCGUGUACGGCCAUCUAUCAAACGACGCCAAAACAAAUUUUAGAUUAAUUUUUAAGUUAGUUUGGAUUUGGCAGCUAUUCGAGUAAGAGGUGUUUCGUGAUUUUCGGUAAGAUGGAAAAAGUGCAGUAUUGUUCAGUAAUUCGCUUUUUGUUUUUGGAUGGGAAAAAAUGCGAGGAGAUAAAAGCAAAGUUGGAUGCUGUUUACGGGGACAUGUCGCCAUCUAUGACCAAAGUUAGAUAUUGAUUAAAUGAAUUUAAACGUUUAUGAACACUCGUUUUGGAUGAGGAGAGACCAGGACGCCCGGCAGAUGUGGUUAGCGAAGAAACCAUUGAAAAAAUCCACGACAUGAUUCUCGAUGAUCGACGAACUAAAGCGCGCGAAGUAGCUAAAGCAAUAGGUGUGUCGAUCGGAACAGCAAUUUAUGUUUUAUAUGCUAAGUUAGCGAUGAAAAAGUGGUCGACUCGAUGGGUGACGCGAAUGCUCACGGUGGACAACAACCCGAUGCGGCUGUUAACUUCGCAGCAUUGUUUGAAGCAAUUCAAGGGAGAUCUGAAGAACUUUUUGCGUCGAGUUGUCAUUAUUGACGAAGCCUGGAUUCGUCAUUACACACCAGAAACUACACAACAAUCAAGACAAUGGAUUUCUCCCGAUGCCAAGGAAGGCGAAUACGGUCCCAUCGGCUGGAAAGGUCAUGACGACGAUUGUUUUGGGACGCGAAGUCCGGGACGGGGUAAUACUACAGUAAGUUAUUGGACCGCUUCUUUAAAAAAUUGAAGGAGACACGGCCGCAUUUGGCGAAAAAAAGGUGUUGUUUUACAACGAUAAUGCACCAUCACAUUCAUUCGGAGUUGUCGCUGCCAAAUUGCAUGAUUUUUUUUUAUUGCUUAGAUGGGUGGACGAUCUCACAGCCCGCCUGGUGUUAAGUGGUUACUGGAGCCCAUACACAUCUACAACGUAAACGCGCCACCCACCUUGAGAUAUAAGUUCUAAGAUCUCAGUAUAGUUACAACGGCUGCUCCACCCUUCAAACCGAAACGCAUUACUGCUUCACGGCAGAAAUGGGCAGGGUGGUGGUACCUACCCGCGUGGGCUCACAAGAGGUCCUACCACCAGUAAAAAAUUGCUGCCGUACCCCCUUAUUCACCCGAUCUAACUCCAUGCAACUUCUUGUUCCCUAACAUGAAGGAUUGUCUCGCGGGAAAAAAAAUUUGUUCAAAUCAGGAAGUCAUCACCAAGAUAUAGGCGUAUUUUGGAGAGUUCAGCGAUUCGUAUUUUUUGAGGUGUUAAAAAAAUGGCAGAAACGUUGGGAGGAGGGUCUAAAGGGGGAUUGUGUUGAAAAAAAUAUAAUAAAUUUAAAAAAAAGGGUCUUCAUUUCUAACACGUGUACUUAUUGAACCGCCCUCAUACUCUAUGUUGAAUUCCGUGCCAAUAAAGUUUGUUUAAAUGAAUAUGAAGUGCGUUAAAGUCCGCUAUCCAAAGCCUAUUUUCUUAUUUCCAGAAUUAUAAUUGCUGCUCAUGAAUCAUUAAAAAAAUUAGAAUACAUUCGUAGAAAAAUACAUAUACCAAUCUUAACGUUAUCAUGGGAGACGGGGGGGGGGGGGGGGUCAGAACUUUGCUUACAUUUGCUGACAAGGGGAAAGGAGGUAUAAAUAAUUGUAAUAAAUCUGCUUAUGUAAUACGUAAACGGCCCCUUACUUGGAUUAUUAUUUAAAAGAGAAACUGCAUGUUUUCUAAUCUAUAACUCUGAGAAACUUAAUUUUUCUAGUCAGUGAGUAUUUUCCUUCUCAAUUCUCAUAAUAAUUAAAACUAAAUUAGCAAGUUUUUCAUAAACAACAAACAUCAAAGCAGCGGUCAUGACUGUUUGCAAAAGCUUGGCUUCCAGUCCACGGAACAUUGAAAUUGGUUUUGACUUAAUAUCUUUCACCAAUGUUUUCAAAUUAGUACCAGCACGAAGUCUAGAUUGAAUUACUUGCAAGGGGUAGGUUAGGAUUGUGGCUACAGAUUUUGCUGUAGCCCCAACUAAAAAUGAUGUGUAUGUAUGGAAUGAGCCUUGGGACAUAAAUGUUCGUUUUAGAGAUUCAUACACCAUAAACUGAAUAGCUGGAUUUGAAACCAGAAGUAGUGAAGGAACAGUGCCAGACCAGAGGCCUUUUGCGCCUUCAGUUCUUGCUAGUUCAAGGAGGCCUUCAAAUAAAUUUUUGUAAUUGUUUUUUUCCAACUUCAUUCUUGUGUUUACAACCCAUAGCGGUGAUGUUAAAAUAACAUUGAUACUUCCAGCAAUUAAACCAAAAAGUAGAUCAGGCAAUGCUGUUGUUGGCUGGGAAGAUAUAUUUCGUAAUGCAUGGAAUGAGUAAAAGUAAACAAAGUUGGAUACUGAAAUUGACUGUAAAACUGGUGAUAAACCUCUGUAAAGAGACUGAAUACCUUCUUCACUAGCUAGUUUUAUUAAUAAUCCCAGUGUCGAUCCUUGUAACUUCUUCGAAUCUUCAACUGAAAUAGUAUGUUAUGAAAAUUAUUAUUAGUAUUAUUUAAUCUUGACUAAUAUUAGUACCUAAUUAGAAUAAUUGACAUGGUUGAAAAUAAUAUUAGGCUGAUUACUUAGACAGAUUUCUUUCAUACCUUUAAAUAAGCAUUAUGUGUGCAUAAUUAAUAAGAUUAACUCUACUGUGAAUACUUAGUCUGGCCAUAAAUACUGUUACAAUUAAAAAUAAACAAAAUAUUACAUUUGAAUUUGGAAUCUGUCAUUUUUAUAUGAUUGCUCAUUGAGUUUUCUCAUUUUGGCGCCAAUACAUUGUACAAUAUUUUGCGAUAUUAAAAUGGAGUGGGGUGAUAAAGAGAACCGAAUUGCUGUGAUUGCAUUACACAAAGUAGGUAUGGAGCCAAAUGCAAUUUUUUAAACUCUCCAUACGCUUGGUAUUAGUAAAUGUUUGUGUACCGGGCUAUUAAUAGGUGCAAUGAGGCCUCCUCUGUUUGUGACAGAAAAAGAUCUGGCCGUCCACGUAGUGUUCGUAUGAAAAAGGUGGUCAAAGCAGUAAGGGAAAGAAUUCGAAGAAAUCCUGUUCGAAAGCAAAAGAUUUUAUCUCCGAAGAUGAAGAUAGCACCUAGAACCAUGUCGCGUAUUUUAAAAGAUGAUUUAGGACUUACAGCCUAUAAGAGACGUACUGGUAAUUUCUUAACUGAUAAUUUAAAAGAGAAUAGGGUGGUAAAAUUGAAACAACUACUGCGUGCGUACAACUAAGCGUGUACGUAAAGGGAGGUCAUAGGAAAAUUUUGUUUACGGAUGAGAAUUUUUUUACAUUUUAACAAACAAAGUGACCGUAUUUAUGCUCAAAGCUCUAAGGAAGCUUCCCAAUUAGUCGACAGAGUGCAACGUGGGCACUAUCCGACUUCAGUGAUGGUUUGGUGGGGUAUUAGCUAUUAAGGAGUGACUGAGCCAUACUUUUGUGAAAAAGGUAUCAAAACAUCGGCACAAGUGUAUCAAGAUACCAUUCUUGAGAAGGUAGUGAAGCCCCUUAACAACACCAUGUUCAAUAAUCAAGAAUGGUCCUUCCAGCAAGACUCGGCGCCAGGUCAUAAAGCUCGGUCUACGCAGUCUUGGUUGGAAACGAACGUUUCGGACUUCAUCAAAGCUGAAGACUGGCCGUCGUCUAGUCCCGAUCUUAAUCCGCUGGAUUAUGAUUUAUGUUCAGUUUUAGAGAGUACGGCUUGCUCUAAACGCCACGAUAAUUUGGAGUCCCUAAAACAAUCCGUACGAUUGGCAGUGAAAAUUUUUCCCAUGGAAAGAGUGCGUGCUUCUAUUGAUAACUGGCCUCAACGUUUAAAGGACUGUAUUGCAGCCAAUGGAGACCACUUCGAAUAAGCUUUUUAUACUUUAAAUUGUUUUAUAUUUAUGUAUUAAACUAACACACUGUAAAAGUAAUAAAUGUUAUUUGCAAUA